rnacentral:rRNA from 1 species
UACCAGACUCCUACGGGAGGCAGCGGUGGGGAAUAUUGCACAAUGGGGGAAACCCUGAUGCAGCAACGCCGCGUGAGUGAAGAAGUAUUUCGGUAUGUAAAGCUCUAUCAGCAGGGAAGAAGAUGACGGUACCUGAGUAAGAAGCCCCGGCUAACUACGUGCCAGCAGCCGCGGUAAUACGUAGGGGGCAAGCGUUAUCCGGAUUUACUGGGUGUAAAGGGAGCGUAGACGGCUGUGCAAGCCAGAUGUGAAAGCCCGGGGCUCAACCCCGGGACUGCAUUUGGAACUGCGUGGCUUGAGUGUCGGAGAGGCAGGCGGAAUUCCUAGUGUAGCGGUGAAAUGCGUAGAUAUCAGGAGGAACACCGGUGGCGAAGGCGGCCUGCUGGACUGCAACUGACGUUGAGGCCCGAAAGCGUGGGGAGCAAACAGGAUUAGAUACCCCAGUA